rnacentral:rRNA from 1 species
AUUGAACGCUGGCGGCAGGCCUAACACAUGCAAGUCGAACGGUAGCACAGAGAGCUUGCUCUCGGGUGACGAGUGGCGGACGGGUGAGUAAUGUCUGGGAAACUGCCCGAUGGAGGGGGAUAACUACUGGAAACGGUAGCUAAUACCGCAUAACGUCGCAAGACCAAAGUGGGGGACCUUCGGGCCUCACACCAUCGGAUGUGCCCAGAUGGGAUUAGCUAGUAGGUGGGGUAAUGGCUCACCUAGGCGACGAUCCCUAGCUGGUCUGAGAGGAUGACCAGCCACACGGGAACUGAGACACGGUCCAGACUCCUACGGGGGGCAGCAGUGGGGAAUAUUGCACAAUGGGCGCAAGCCUGAUGCAGCCAUGCCGCGUGUAUGAAGAAGGCCUUCGGGUUGUAAAGUACUUUCAGCGGGGAGGAAGGCGGUGAAGUUAAUAACUUCACCGAUUGACGUUACCCGCAGAAGAAGCACCGGCUAACUCCGUGCCAGCCGCCGCGGUAA